rnacentral:rRNA from 1 species
UCUCUCGGGAAAUCCGGCGGCUUAACCGUCGGGCGUCCGAGAGAUACUGCUAGGCUUGGGACCGGGAGAGGCCGAGGGUACUCCCGGGGUAGGGGUGAAAUCCUGUAAUCCCGGGAGGACCACCGGUGGCGAAGGCGCUCGGCUGGAACGGGUCCGACGGUGAGGGACGAAGGCCAGGGGAGCGAACCGGAUUAGAUACCCGGGUAGUCCUGGCUGUAAACGAUGCGGGCUAGGUGUCGGGUGAGCUACGGGCUCAUCCGGUGCCGGAGGGAAGCCGUGAAGCCCGCCACCUGGGGAGUACGGCCGCAAGGCUGAAACUUAA